GUCUGCGGCUGGCCGCUAGACCGCACAGGUGGGAAGCGGGGACGCGGCCGGUGGCGGGCGGCCAAGUAGCCUCUCACGUUUCUCGCUUUUAAAUCCGAUCUCUGAGUCACCCGGCGCAACCUGCUUAUUUCCCCCUCGCGCCUUUAUUACGACGUGUGAACACCGGCAUACAUUGUGACAUCGAGCUGCGUCCAUUCCACGGCUAAUGAGUUAACAGCCCGUGUGCCGCCAGUAGAUUACAAGUUCACUGAGUGUGACUCUUAUUGUUCUUUCGAGCAAGUGAGUUCCUUAGUGCGGUGUGACAGUCAGGAUGUUACAACGACACGGAGGCACCUACGAUUCCGCCGUUUGUGACGUUACUCUUCGUCUGGAUAGCACCUAGCUGCACUCAUUCGAAACUACAGAACUCGGAAAGGUGGACAGCGCCCCCUCCAGCUCUCACCCACUGCAAACCAUCUGGUCAUGAGCUGCCGAGAGACUGACGCCACUACUCAGCAGGUGCCGGGCCGCAGUGUGUUGGCGAGAUUUUCCGGUCUAGCGGCUGCGGUUCGAGUCCCAGCGCCAGCCCCCUGCGGCUCGAGUUCUCCGGAGCAGGUGCGGGCGCAGCUGCCGCCGGCGCCGCGCAGGCCUGCCAACUGCAGCUGCGCCGUGAAGGCCGCGCGCCAGAUUCACACACUUGGCCGGCGUUCCUUGGCAGGAGGAGCCCUGGCCUUCCCCCGCAAUACAUCUCGCCCUUCCCACGAUAAACUGGGCAUUCAAUUCUUAACUUGUUCCACUCGCCGCUACCUUCUAAAACAGCAAUUAGCUCACACGUGACAUCGAGAAUAACU